ACAAACCGGAGGAAGGUGGGGAUGACGUCAAGUAUCAUGGCCCUUCGGCCAGGGCUACACACGUGCUAACAAUGGUCGGUACAAAGGGUUGCCAAGCCGCGAGGUGGAGCUAAUCCCAUAAAACCGAUCGUAGUCCGGAUCGCAGUCUGCAACUCGACUGCGUGAAGUCGGAAUCGCUAGUAAUCGUGAAUCAGAAUGUCACGGUGAAUACGUUCCCGGGCCUUGUACACACCGCCCGUCACACCAUGGGAGUGGGUUGCUCCAGAAGUAGCUAGUCUAAGCCGCAAGGGGGACGGUUACCACGGAGUGAUUCAUGACUGGGGUGAAGUCGUAACAAGGUAGCCGUAGGGGAACCUGCGGUGGAUCACCUCCUUUAAUCGAAGA
rnacentral:rRNA from 1 species